AAGUUGUCAAAAAAACCCCCAAACACCUCCUCUAUUUUUGAAUCGUUGGAAGAAAACGAAUAAGCAAUACAACUCUUUUCAAAAGAAUGAUUGCUCCAAAAAUAGAAAACAGAAACGAGCAAAUGAACGUGACUCCAUGGUUUAAUUAAUCCAAUUUGGAUGAACUGUGUCAUUGUUUAAAGAAUCUUGGAAGAGAAGAAGCAUACCUUGAACCUCUAUUCUCUUCACAUGUAGUGUUCCGCUUUUCACUUCUCUCUUCCUUCAUGGUGAUGCAUCACGGUCUUGUCCCUUCAAGAUCCAAGUCCAAAAGUGAAAC